GACGUAGGGCGCGAGCGUUGUCCGGAUUUAUUGGGCGUAAAGAGCUCGUAGGCGGCUCGUUGCGUCGGCUGUGAAAACCCGCAGCUCAACUGUGGGCUUGCAGCUGAUACGGGCGGGCUGGAGUUCGGUAGGGGAGACUGGAAUUCCUGGUGUAGCGGUGAAAUGCGCAGAUAUCAGGAGGAACACCGGUGGUGAAGGCGGGUCUCUGGGCCGAUACUGACGCUGAGGAGCGAAAGCGUGGGGAGCGAACAGG
rnacentral:rRNA from 1 species